GCAGUCAUCUUGACACAGUGGAACCUGAGAAGUCAAAGGAGUCGAUUUCAAGUUUUCCUGUUGCGUCGCCACCAUCCAACUUGUGGUUACCACUGCAGCCUCUUGAAGUGGAAACGUUUCUCUUUCGCUUCGAAAUCAGGUCACAAGACUGCUGUAAUGUGACCUGAACGUGCUCGGAGGGGGUCUGCAGUGUGGUAGCUGAGACUGACACUUAAAUUUAGGUGCUGUUUGGCCUCGUGGUUUCUAACUCACUGCUGGGAUCAGGGUUCGGGGUGCCUCUUCCAUCAGAGAGAACGGUGGGCUUCUUCUCUGUCACCUCCACUUUGGCCGGCGAACGCAAAGGAGAAUCACCUACAGGUGAUGAACUCAGUUUGCACGGCGACGCGGUCAAUUUCAACGAUGGCUGCUUGGAAAGAGUCCACGACACCAAGAGUCCUUCGUCCUCCGCGUCCUCCAGACUUACGACCACCUGAUGAACGGAAUCGGGACACGCGGGACGCAAGGCAAUCUUGAUGACGCCGACCAGGAUCCAAGAGCCGCAAUUGCCAAAAUGCAAAGCAGAGGAAAAAGUGCACGACAUUCAGUGCGGCGGGCCAAGAAUGGGGUGUGACUUGCAUGUAGCAGCCAUGUCCCGCAGCAGGUUUUUCAAGUUCAAGAACGACGCGAAGAACAUCCCAGACGAGCUCCAAUGUGGCCGUGAGUGUAUCAAAUUAGACUCGCGUUUUGUCAUCUCAGCCACUAUCGUCUGCAGUCAAGUGAUUAGCAUACGCCGCAGACGCAGCUCGAAUAACAGGACGCUUGUGCACCCGCACACAUGUGCCAGGAUUUAUUUAUUAUUUUUUUUAAAAUACAAAUGAGCGAAUAAAGUUGCCGCGGCUGGCGGUCUCAUUUCAGAAAGUGUCAGCUGAUAAUCACAUGAACACACUGAAGGGAGCAGCUUGUCUCUGCACUGAGCGACAUUCCCCAUGAAAAAUGAUCUGUUUUAAUUCAUUUUAUCGCCCAAUCAAUAGGACCUUUUUCUGACUUCCUAUGAUUGAAUUUCCUAGCAGGACGAUGAGCUUCUGCAGUCCAGGCUGAUCCUAUCUCCCAGAAUGAUAACGGUCCCGCCACUCUCAUCUUCCACGAACUACGAAAAGCCCCGUCAAGUACCAAACAAGCGGACCGACAAACACCAGGCCAUGAUUUAUUUUCCCACUAAUGUUAGCAAUACUCACUCAGGUGCAGGUGAGUAUUCUACCGAGUGACAUUUCAAUAUAGAAUUGCUGAACCAAACAAUGGUGAGCCUCGCACGGCGCUGCAGUUUGCAGAGAAGGUGAACGAUGAAGCAUCAUGCAGGGGUGUUUCUAAUUUUACUUUAUUUAGUUCUGUUCUGAGUAUACGGUACCGCCACAGAGUCAUUAUACAACAUAGCUUGAGG